rnacentral:rRNA from 1 species
AUGGACCCUUCCAUCCCUUAUUCCUGUGGCUAUGCAUUGGAGUUGGACGACGUAGGUCCCAGUGAAGAAGUUGACGAGGAGGGCUUCAUGGUCAAGGAGGCCAAAGCUUUCAAGAAGGUAUUCUGGCAGGAUCAUCGGACACCAUUGUUCAAGGAUGUUAGUCUCGUGGAAGAAGCGGUUGUAGACGGUGGCAAAGGUAUAUUUCUUCGAGUUAGGCCAACUUCUCACCGUGACUUGGAGCACGACAAGAAUGGGAUUUCUCCCAGGUCUAAGUUUUAA